rnacentral:piRNA from 1 species
UGUAGGUGAUUUUCGUGACCCUGGGGCUGC